rnacentral:lncRNA from 1 species
AGCAAACUGGAGAAACUUGACACUAUUACAUUACACACAACACAGGUAAUGAAUGAAUUUGAGAGAAUGAACUCUCUGUUUAUAGAAAGUAGCGACAACACUAUAACUAGUGGCCCUCUGAUUCUGCUAGUAAUUUCACGUUAAUAUCCUUACUUAUAAGUCGAACUAAAGGUGACUGCAUGCAUGCAUGAGGAAAUUUAUAAAAGCGUAUAUUUGAUAUUGGUGUAUAUUUCUCUAUGAUCUCAAACGUGAGAGUACAGCGAAGAAAACAUUGUCUUUGUUUCAAUGGUAACUACCUAAAAAUGAAGAAGAAAACAUCGACGUCUUGAUCCAAAACCCUUCGCCCUAACGUUAGUGGAACCUUGGAUAAAAGGCUCGAAACAUCGACGGUUUUUUUAUUUUUUCAACGUACAAUAGUUUAGAUCAAAACGAAGGUAGUUUAUGCUUUCUCUAUUCAAUGUCUGAUUUGAUAAACUAUGCAUGACAAACGCAUGUGCCAGUAAGAAUGGGGAAUGGAGGUGUAGUUGUGGAUCAACGCUGUUGUGCAAUAAGAGCUUGUCAUUCAACUGUUCAGUUCUUUUAUAUAGGGCUACGAAAUAGAAAAUAUGGUUGACUCCUACAUUCCAAAGUAGACAUUCAUAUUCAAACACACUUGCCAUCCCAUUUUGGUGUUUACUAUGUUUGUGCAUUCAAUACAACGUUUUAUGGGACAGUAUGUUUGUGGGGAAUGAAGAAACACAGGUGGAAGAUAUAAUGUCACAGGCAAAACCCACGCUGUCGCAGUGAAACCAUCUACGUCAAACCUGUUGAUAAAUGCUUUGGAGUACCGUAUGAUAUAGCUGGGUCCCAUUCCAUGACACAAAUAUCGUCAGGGGAAGCACUCGCGAUAUAUGCAAGUUUAUCUAAUUACAUGAACAUGUAUGUAGGUGUACUAGAAAGCAUAGUAUGUAUAGCUAAUAUAAUUAAUAUAGUAUUUAAUCAAGAAAAAUUAAAUAUAUGUAAAUUAGUGUUUUUAAAUGUAGUUAAUUUCCAUAUUGCGAUUGCGGUCGGCCGACACACCAAGAUCGGCGAUACAAAUCGCAAUCAAUAAUCGUAGCUUAGGUAUAAAGAUUUUUCAGGGCAUUUAUUGUGGAUCUAAUAUGGUUUUUUAAACCUUCCCAGUGCAUGAUGGUUGAUUAGCGUGCACUAUACUCUUCUAAUACCAUUCCGGCUAUGAUUCCACAGUCACCCCUACUGAUGUCACUGCGCACAUAGCGCAAUGGAUUGUAGUUAACUGAUAAUUGCCACAAUGCACAUAUAUCAGAUUAAAUAUUAUGGCAGAUUCUUGACGUCAUUUUAAUUUUAGUAAUAUUUGAAGUCGAAAACUUAAUUUCAACUUCAUAGAAGAAUGUAUUAUAUGCAUGUAAUAUUUUGUACAUAUAGACAUAGUUGAAGUUUGAAUCUCUUACACAAAG